UGGAAUAAUUAUUAAUUUUUUUAUUUGCUUUUAACGUUUAAAUGUGAUGUAAUGUUAAUUACAAAACAAAAAAAGGAAAACCAAAUAUUAAUAAAAAUCGACAGUAUCAAUAAUAUGAAUUUUAAUAACUGUUUAAUGUUUCUAAACUCCAAAUAAAUUCAAAUUUCUUAUUUGAACUUUUUUAAUUAAUUUAUUUUAGUCAAUUCAGAAUCGUAAUUAGUAAAAAAAAAAAAAAAAAAGAAGCUAUUUAAAUGCUAAUUUAUUAUUUCGAUCUUCACUAAUAAGUGUAAUAAUAAUGUUGGAUGUAUAUAAUAUAUGUAUAUAUUUUUUUUUUCUUCGAUGACAUCAUCGGCCAGAAAAUGUCAUUUAAACUGACAAGAGUGAAAAUUGGACUGCACAAUUUGGCACAAACGAGCGGUGGUGGUGUUUUGUCGCUGCAUAAAAGCGACCAAAUAAGGACCCGGCAGCGCGAAGCGUGAAGGAAGAGACGGGCAGCUCCCGGGUCAGCUGAGGCCGAGGGCACAGAAGCCAGUGUGUGUGUGUGGGGGGGAAUUCUGCUCCCUUGUUGCAUAAAUACGUGUCCGUCACGCCGAAGAAUGUCAAAAUAAGAGUCCGCCUUCCGCUUCACGUCUUCUUGCGUAACCUUUCCUCAGGAAAGCAUUUGCUUAACAAAGUAGCGUCCUCCCUCUCUCCGAAUGCACGCCGAGACUGUGAAGAUUCUUAUUUUUAGUCUGACCCCGUUUCAAGUUCUUGAGGAAAAUGUCGACGAAGGCCGCAAAAAGUGGAACAUUUUCCCCCCAGAAUUCCGCAUCGGGGUGCCGUUCUGGGCCCGCACGCCUUUCUGAUUAUUAAAAUCGCCGCAAAGUCGUUUGGAAAAGAAGGAAAUGUUUCACUUUCAGGGAUAAGCAGCCCGCACCAAAAGCCAGCAGUGAGGUGAGGAAAAGAGCGAUGUGUUGAAGCGUGACGGGUUCCCAUCGAGCUGACUGAAACCAAAAGCAUGUUUUGUUUUUUUUCCUUCUCCCCCCCCCCCCGCCCCGAGCUGCGUGGUCUUUUAACAUGUGUGCCUUGCUCAAGCGACCGAGCGUGUUUAUACGCGCCUUCGAACACUGCUCCACACUUAGGACAGCACAGGAGUGUUUACCGCAUAACGGAAAUAACAACAGUUUUUUUUUUUUUUUUUUGUUUCGCAAGAGACACGAGAAGGAAACUGUGAUCUCGUGCUUCGGUUGAUUCAGGUACAAAAAAAAAAAAAGUGUGCACGGAACGGAAGACGGCAAAAGAAACCCGCAGAAGGAUUUCUUCAGACCGGUGGUUCUCAAACGUUUCUCGCCGGUUGCGCAGUAGGCCCCAGCUCUCUGCAGGUCAUUCACCAGGUCCCCCCGUGUGGUUCUGGGAUUUUUGCUCACCGUUCUCAUGAUCAUUUCGACCCCACGGGAUGAGAUCUUGCGUGGAGCCCCAGAUCGAGGGAGAUUAUCAGUGGUCUUUCUGGUGCAGGUCUACAAUCUUUUCCUGGUGUCCUUCGACAGCUCUUUGGUCUUGGCCAUAGUGGAGUUUGGAGUCUGACUGUUUGAGGCUGUGGACAGGUGUCUUUUAUACAGAUAACAAGUUCAAACAAGUGCCAUUAAUACAGGUAACGAGUGGAGGACAGAAGAGCUUCUUAAAUAAGAAGUUACAGGUCUGUGAGAGCCAGAGAUCUUCCUUGUUUGAAGUGACCAAAUACUUAUUUUCCACCAUAAUUUAUGAAUAAAUUCUUUAAAAUUCCUACAAUUUGAAUUCCUGGAUUUUUUUUUCACAUUCUGUCUCUCACAGUUGAAGUGUACCUAUGAUGAAAGUUACAGACCUCUGUCAUCAUUUUAAGGGGGAGAACUCGCACAAUCGGCAUAUAUAUAUGGGCUUCACGGUGGAAGAGAGGUUAGUGUGUCUGCCUCACAAUACGACCUGAGUAGUCCUGGGUUCAAUCCCGGGCUCGUGAUCUUUCUGUGUGGAGUUUGCAUGUUCUCCCCGUGACUGCGUGGGUUCCCCCCGGGUACUCCGGCUUCCUCCCACCGCCAAAGACAUGCACCUGGGGAUAGGGUGAUUGGCAACACUAAAUUGGCCCUAGUGUGUGAAUGUUGUCUGUCUAUCUGUGUUGGCCCUGUGAUGAGGGGGCGACUUGUCCAGGGUGUACUCCGCUGAGAUAGGCACCAGCGACCCCAAAGGGAAUAAGCGGUAGAACGAGAAAGGGUGUAAUGUUUUAUUUUGAAGUAUUGGUUUUAUUUUGAAGAACCGGAUAUCCGGUGGGGGAAGUGACUUUGUGUUUUACUUCCUCUUCCUUUGGACUUUUUAAUGAGAGGGGAAUAGUUCUUAACCGCUCCGUGUUUCUUCAUAGUGUAAAUAUUCUUCCUAAACGUUCCUAAUACUUUAAGAGUUAAAAAAUUAAUGUUGUGGGUCUAAGUUAAUUGUUGUUUUAAGUAAUUGUUAUGCACAAUUUUGUCAAUUAAGGAGUAGAGCGUCGACUGUUUGAAUUGCAUGGUAUUUAUGCCACACAGGAGCAGAUAUCAGUCCGCCAGAAAGUAGAGACCUGUGUAUGUGUUUCGUGUUCCCAACACAGGUAUGUGGAUUCGUGCAUUUUUAUUUUUUUUUUUGUGAUAAAACUUAAUUGUUAAUUUAAUUUAAAUUAUUAUUUUUAUACGAAUGAAUGUUGUUUACUUCCUCUUCCUUCGCACUUUUUAAUGAGAAGGAGCAGAUAUCAGUCCGC